AAGCGGACGGAUGGGAGCUUGCUCCCUGAAGUCAGCGGCGGACGGGUGAGUAACACGUGGGCAACCUGCCUGUAAGACUGGGAUAACUUCGGGAAACCGGAGCUAAUACCGGAUAAUGCAUUUCCCCUCAUGNGGAUAUGCUGAAAGAUGGUUUCGGCUAUCACUUACAGAUGGGCCC
rnacentral:rRNA from 1 species